AACGAUACGAUGCUGCGUUGAAAAAAUACAGCAUUUUAAAACAUAAUUCAAAAUGGCCGACGCCUAAAAUGGCUGACACGGGAAAUUUGCAUAUCAUACGACUCGACAUGACUCACUGAAUCUAAAGAGACCAGUUGUGUGAUUUUUGGCCAAACCAUUCAGAAGAUAUAAGCCAAAAUAUGCAUUUUUCAUAUCUCCUGACCACUAGGUGGCGCUGUGUCGAAACACUGCAGGUAGUCUCAGUUCAUGCUUGUUAUAACACACGCCAAGUUUGGUCUCAAUAUGACAAACCGUUGCCGGGAUAUAGCCUCACGUGCAUGUUUGCGUGCUUUUCGUCAAAUUUGUUUACAUGUCAUUCGACAACAGUUGGACGAAUCAACUUGAAUUCCAUAACUUUUUGCCAGCAUGGUCUGAAGAUGAUCUGAGCCAAUUUUCGUGGCAAUCGGACUAACCGUCUAGGACGAGUUCGAAAAAGUAGGUUUUUCGAAUAAUUGAAAAUAGCGAAAAAACUAAACCUUGCGAUUUUUGAAUUUUGGGAUUCAUUCGACUUGGCAUGAGCCAAGGAUUCAGAGGAAAAAAGAAUUUCCAUUUUCUGGCUUACGGUUCAAAAGUUAUUAGCAUACAAACAUUGAAAGUUUGGACAAGUGGUGGCACUAGAGAGUAGGAGAUAGAGACUUCAAAUUUGCUAUAGUUAAUGUUGGGACUGUCCUCUAUCAGUGUGCCAAAUUAUACAACUUUCCCGCAAUCGGUUCUAUGGGCUGCCAUAGACUUGCGGCGGAAGAAGAAGAAGAAGAAGAAGAAUAAUAAAUAUAGCUGCAAGCAGCAAUAACGGGGCCAAGCACUACAGAAGCAAGCUUCAGACGAAUGGCAGGAAUGAGUAAUUAAGACAGUUUUAAGAUUAUUUUAGGCAAAAUGGCUUAAAAACAAUGAACACAACAACUAGUAAUAGGAUUUAUUGGCUUAU